UACGUAGGGGGCAAGCGUUGUCCGGAAUUAUUGGGCGUAAAGCGCGCGCAGGCGGCUUUGUAAGUUUGGUGUUUAAUCUCAGAGCUCAACUCUGAUUCGCAUCGAAAACUGCAAGGCUUGAGUACAGAAGAGGAAAGUGGAAUUCCACGUGUAGCGGUGAAAUGCGUAGAGAUGUGGAGGAACACCAGUGGCGAAGGCGACUUUCUGGUCCAGUACUGACACUCAAGUGCGAAAGCGUGGGGAGCAAACAGG
rnacentral:rRNA from 1 species